AUCUUUCUUAGGCCCCUUCUUCCCUUUCAAGAGUCCACCACCCGCCUUAGUAGUCUCAAAUAGGGCGUGUAUCAUCUCCUCCGCCGCUCCUCACUUGUAAAAACCUAAACACGAUAGUAAUCCGAGGAACGAAGAAGGGUACAGCUUCAGGGAAACCAGCAUGAGAGCCAAGUGGAAGAAGAAGCGUAUGAGGAGAUUAAAGAGGAAGAGACGAAAGAUGAGACAGCGAUCUAAGUAGAAGAUUUGGGAGUUGUUUCGUGUCUUUUCUUCUUUUUAGAAUCAACUCUUGUGGGAGUUUUGUUGGUUUUGCUAUUUGAAUGUUUUGUUGUUGGACCAAAUCGAAUCUUUGUUUUCUAUUAGAAUUAUGUUUCUUACAUGGAAUGAUCCACAUGAGUUCCUGAUUCUCAUUUCUCCUU